CUUGCAGACAAAAUUCUUCAAAAUUUUUCUUCCUCUUAUUCCUUUACUUCCUCACUCACUUACACAUUCUUUUGUGCUCUGUUGUAAGGUAGAAACUGAGUUCACAUGACGGCCUUUUCUCAGACUCUGAAUCUGAUGUGUACAGAUGAACUCAGGAGUCUGCUGGAGUUGCCAGGGAGCUUGAGCUUGAACUGGAGACCAAAAACGCAAAGAAAAUCAGUCACAGCAAGCCAGUCAAACCAGUCCUGAUGAAUGAGGAAUGAACGUGGUCUUCUUGUACCCAAAUAGAAAAGUCAGAUUUCCACUGCUCCUAGAAUUAGCAAAUCAACUGUGCCAUCGUCUCUGGAAUUUGGGCAGGAAAUGACCGAAUAUGGAGGAUGAAGCCAGUUGAUGAAGAGAUUAAUUCAUUGGCCAUCAGGUAUCUGCUGUGAAGACUGCAUUGGCGGACGGCUCUACUGUGACAGCUCAGAUGUUACAGCGCAUAAAAGUAAACUUCACAACUGAACAACAAGAGUUGUGGAGGGAUUUUUUUGG